UGGAAUAUCUCUUAUGCUUGAUUCAUAUCUUCAGAAGUCAUCUUUCACCUUAGUCCUUUCUCCUUCACUCAAGGACGAGUAAAGGCUAAGUGUGGGAGUGUUGUUGACAGCUCUUAAGUACCAAAUCUAGACCAUCAACUUCUGCAUAAACACAUAGAGGAUGAGCAUCAAUAGUAGUGGUAGGAGUUAUUACGAAUGAAUUCCAUAAGUGUUGGUGAAUAUUUGUAUGCAGGUCCAUUAAGGGAGAAAACAAACCUCAAAGAGCAAGGAAACAUACUCUUAACCAAUCAGGAGCAAGGACACAGAUUGGAGAGCCCACAUCAGGGGUUAAACUGCCUAAACUUACCGCCAAUCACCCUGUACCCACUUGGUGAUAAGAACCCGCUAGGGUUGAAUCCCGAUCUUUCGAUGAGAGGCAUGGGAUAACUCGAUUUGGGGAUGGAGAUGACCUUCACGGCCUGACUACAACCAUCCAAGGAUGAUGCACCUUAGCAACCGAUACACCAUCUCCAAUUGUUGCCGCGAUCUUGUGAAGCACGAUCAACCAAACUACUAGGGUAAUUCCUGCAAGCAAUUGAGGAAUAAGCAAGAACAAGUAGAACAAGCAACUCAAUUGCAAAUAUAAAGAUAAAAGCCAAUCUGAAAUCAUAAAGUUGGGAUUCUGAAUCGAGUAGAAUGGAUAGUCUAGUCGACACACG
rnacentral:lncRNA from 1 species